CAUCAUUUUAGCAAGACGUUCAUCGCGACAUCUCCAAGAACUCUCGCCAACCCUACGCUGUCUCUAGGUCCGCCGGCCACCAGACAUGCAUCGAGUCUUGGGGUGCUUGUCUCGCUGUUUCCCGUAUCUCUCGUGUUCCUGGCGGUGGCACUCACUGUGCUGGCCAGGGUGCCUAUGGCAACAUGUGCUGCGGCGACCGCAUGUUUGCUCCGACCAAGAUCUGGCACCGUUGGCACCGCAGGUCCCAGUUAACAAGAAAUGGUAUGCCGUGGUUUCUGCCAUCGCCGCCUCUGCAGUGCCUUCCCUUGUCAUGGCCCGCAGCCACCGGAUCGAGUCUGUCCUGCAAAUCCCCUGUGUGAUCUCCGAUUCUGCUGAGGCCAUGGAGAAAACCUCCAAUGCUAUCAGUCUUCUCAAGAAAAUUGGGGCUUACCUUGAUGCUGAGAAGGCUAAGGACAGCUAGGCUAUCCGCCCAGGAAAGGGUAAGAUGUGUAACAGCCACUACAUCUGCAGGAAAGUCCUCUGGUUGUGUAUGGUAUUGAGGGGGCUAAGCUCGUGAAGGCCUUUCGCAACAUUCCUGGAGUCGAUAUGGCCCAUGUGGACCAAUUGAAUUUGUUGAAACUUGCCCUGGGAGAUCACAUUAGGAGGUUUAUUGUUUGGACGAAAUCAGCAUUUGAGAAAUUGGAUGAGAUUUACAGGUCAUUUGAUAGAGGAUUAAAGCAGUCAUCUGGUGUUGACAUGUAUGAUGAAUCUUGUUAACGGAUGCUGAGGAAGUUAAGUAAACAGCUGAAUGGAAAACAGAUUUCUUGUGAUGGUGAUACGUGAUUUGUUAAACCUUUGUGAGAUUACAAAAGGCAAAGACAACAAAGCAGUUAUUGCAAGUAAUAUAAUGCAAAUGACCGUGAACUCCAGUUUUCCGUGGUUGAUGGUGUUUUCAAGAAGUUUGAAGGAAAAUGGUCUGUCAAAUCUGGUCGUGCUAACUCCGACACAUUUAGCUAUUGUGAUGGAAUAUGCUGCUGGUGGAGAGCUCCUUGCAAAAAUUUGUAGUGCUGGUGCAUUCAAUGAAGAUGAGGCUCGCUUUUUCUUUCAGCAGCUAAUAUCUGGUGUUAGUUACUGUCAUUCAAUGGAAAUCUGUCACAGGGACUUGAAGCUGGAAAACACACUUUUGGAUGGGAGUCCAACACCACGUCUUAAAAUAUGUGAUUUUGGUUAUUCUAAGCAUAUAUUGCACCUGAGGUCCUGUCAAGGAAGGAAUAUGAUGGGAAGAUUGCGGAUGUAUGGUCCUGUGGUGUGACAUUGUACGUGACGUUGGUGGGAGCUUAUCAUAUUGACUUAAUUGGAUUUUUGUUCAUACAAUGCUAUUAAAUGCUCUUAAGGAGUUGAAAAAGGUUGGCUUUUGGAUAUGCUCAUGAAGAUGACUUCAGUUUGACACAGAUUGCUGCUUUAGUGCCUGUUUGAUAACAUAAAAAAGUGCUGAAACUGAAUUCAUUCAGACAUUCAGAUGUUGUGGGUGUUUGAUAAAUAAAAAUUCACCUGCUGAACUUAUUAAGUGGUGCUGAAUUUGUAUGUAUUUUUUUCAGCACAAGAAUCGUAGCUGAAUGCUUAAUUUGAUAAGAAUCAAGAGAUUUAUUUCAACUACUUUAUCUUAUCUA